GAUGAAGAACGCAGCGAAAUGCGAUACGUAAUGUGAAUUGCAGAAUUCAGUGAAUCAUCGAGUCUUUGAACGCACAUUGCGCCCCCUGGUAUUCCGGGGGGCAUGCCUGUCCGAGCGUCAUUGCUGCCCUCAAGCCCGGCUUGUGUGUUGGGUCUCGUCCCCCUUCCCGGGGGGACGGGCCCGAAAGGCAGCGGCGGCACCGUGUCCGGUCCUCGAGCGUAUGGGGCUUUGUCACCCGCUCUGUAGGCCCGGCCGGCGCUUGCCGAUCAACCAAAACUUUUUUCCAGGUUGACCUCGGAUCAGGUAGGGAUACCCGCUGAACUUAAGCAUAUCAAUAAGCGGAGGA
rnacentral:misc_RNA from 1 species